rnacentral:rRNA from 1 species
AUUGAACGCUGGCGGAAUGCUUUACACAUGCAAGUCGAACGGCAGCACGGACUUCGGUCUGGUGGCGAGUGGCGAACGGGUGAGUAAUACAUCGGAACGUGCCCAGUCGUGGGGGAUAACGUAGCGAAAGCUACGCUAAUACCGCAUACGAUCUAAGGAUGAAAGCGGGGGAUCGCAAGACCUCGCGCGAUUGGCGCGGCCGAUGGCAGAUUAGGUAGUUGGUAGGGUAAAGGCCUACCAAGCCGACGAUCUGUAGCUGGUCUGAGAGGAUGGUCAGCCACACUGGGACUGGGACACGGCCCAGACUCCUAAGGGAGGCAGCAGUGGGGAAGUUUGGACAAUGGGCGCAAGCCUGAACCAGCCAUUCCGCGUGCAGGAUGAAGGCCUUCGGGUUGUAAACUGCUUUUGUACAGAACGAAAAGGCUCUGGUUAAUACCCGGGGCUCAUGACGGUACUGUAAGAAUAAGCACCGGCUAACUACGUGCAGCCGCCGCCGUAA